rnacentral:rRNA from 1 species
UACAGAGGUCUCGAGCGUUAGGCGGAAUCACUGGGCUUAAAGCGUGUGUAGGUGGAUGCCUAAGUACCUUGUGAAAUCCCACGGCUCAACCGUGGAACUGCUUGGUAUACUGCUUUUCUUGAGCCACUUAGGGGCUGUCGGAACAAACGGUGGAGCGGUGAAAUGCGUAGAUAUCGUUUGGAACGCCAAAGGUGAAAACAGACAGCUGGGAGUGUGCUGACGCUGAGACACGAAAGCCAGGGGAGCGAACGGG